UCGUGGGGCCGCUCCAGAUCCUCGCCAUAGUUGGUGGCCUGGCUGCCCACGAACAUCUGCCAGUUGCCCAGGAUCUCCUCCCGGCUCAGCUGCCCGUCCUGGGGGGGGGGACAGGGGGGACACCGUGUCAUGGCGGGGUCCCAAAUGUCCCCAUUGUCCCCAACGCCGCUGGUCCCAUUGUAUCCCAUUGCCUCCACAAGGACCCGUCUGUCCCCAUGAGGUCCCAAAUGGCCCCAACCCCACUGUCCCCAUGUCCCCCAUUGCCCCUAUAGGGACCCAUCUGUCCCCAUUAUCCCCAGCCUCAAUGUCCUGCUGUCCCCCAUGGCCUCUAUGGGGUCCAGGUUGUCCCCAUGAGGUCCCCACUCUCCCCAACCCCACUGGUCCCAUUGUAUCCCAUUGCCCCUACAAGGACCCGUCUGUCCCCAUGAGGUCCCAAAUGGCCCCAACCCCACUGUCCCCAUGUCCCCCAUUGCCCUUAUAGGGACGCAUCUGUCCCCAUUGUACCCCACUGCCCCUAUAAGGACCCGUCUGUCCCCAUUGUCCCCAUGAGGUCCCAAAUGUCUCCAAUCCCAUUGUCCCCAUGUCCCCCACUGCCCCUAUAGGGACCCAUCUGUCCCCAUCUGUCCCCGUUAUCCC
rnacentral:lncRNA from 1 species